GUCUUUUAAUUUACGUCUUUAUAAUAAGAACGAUGAAAUAUUGUUCCUAAGAACUAGUAAGAUAUCACCUGUCACACACAUAUACUUUCAUUACCGUUAGAAAAGCUUUUUACGAUAAACCAUAUUAAUCAGUGAGUUAAAUGCCAGUUUCAUUUCAUAUCAACGUCACUUCAAACAGAUAAACGGAUGAUAUUAAUGACUGGUCUACACUAGUUGACGUCGCAUUUCAUUCUAAUAUAUAUCUGUCUUUAAAAGGCUUUUUAAUUUUAUUGAUUGAUUGGUUAUUGUUUGCAUAACGUUCAUUGUCAUUCGUACAUGUAUAUAUUUAGUACGACCACAAAUCUACAAUUAAUACAACCGAUAGGGACUGCAAGGAAGACCGACUAUUACAAUGGUGUUAAAGUAAGGCUGUCAAAUGUUAGUCUGUUUGAAAGAGACAGAGAUAUUUCGCCUUUCAACAGGUGGAGUUCUCAAAUAGUUGUAACAAGAGCAUUUUAUGGCGUGCAACAAAGGCUGGUACUCUCCAUACACGAGGCAUUGGAUUGAACUACCCCAUUCCGAAACGAACGUAGCUGUGACUUUAUGUAUCCCAAACAGCAAACACACAGCUGUAGUGAAGAUUUUUCUGACAGGACGGUAAAAGUUCAGGGAAUUACAUAUGUUAAUAUCCAACUUGCAAUAAAAUUGAAACUGAUAUAAUAAAUACUGUUUUUUAGUUUCUAUCAAGCUUUCUGACUCUAUUACGUUAGCGUACUGAUUAUUUCCCUGUAUUAGCAAAACAUUAGCGAUCCAUUUUACAUUGAAGGCCUCGAAUAUUUUGCAAAGAAACCAUUCUAGUUGUUGGGUUGUUUUCAAAUAUUUUUUUGUUUCACAUCUCAUCCCAUUUGUUUAUGCUAACAGUCUGAGGUUCCUUAUCAACGCUCGUUGUAUCAACAAACUUUAUUUCUUCAACAUCUUUGACACCCACUUCGAAAUCAAAAAAGUAUCUAAAUCCUUCAAUACACCUUGAUAAAGCCCGUCGAUAAAGAAUAAAU
rnacentral:lncRNA from 1 species